rnacentral:rRNA from 1 species
GGUUGAUCCUGCCAGUAGUCAUAUGCUUGUCUCAAAGAUUAAGCCAUGCAUGUCUCAGUACAAGCCAAAUUAAGGUGAAACCGCGAAAGGCUCAUUAAAUCAGUUAUGGUUCCUUAGAUCGUACCCACAAUUACUUGGAUAACUGUGGUAAUUCUAGAGCUAAUACAUGCAAACAGAGCUCCGACCGGAGACGGAAGGAGUGCUUUUAUUAGAUCAAAACCAAUCGGUGGCGGGUUCGCGCUCGUUAUCGUACAACUUGGUGACUCUGAAUAACUUUACGCUGAUCGCACGGUCAUCGCACCGGCGACGCAUCUUUCAAAUGUCUGCCUUAUCAACUGUCGAUGGUAGGUUCUGCGCCUACCAUGGUUGUAACGGGUAACGGGGAAUCAGGGUUCGAUUCCGGAGAGGGAGCCUGAGAAACGGCUACCACAUCCAAGGAAGGCAGCAGGCGCGCAAAUUACCCACUCCCGGCACGGGGAGGUAGUGACGAAAAAUAACGAUACGGGACUCAUCCGAGGCCCCGUAAUCGGAAUGAGUACACUCUAAACCCUUUAACGAGGAUCAAUUGGAGGGCAAGUCUGGUGCCAGCAGCCGCGGUAAUUCCAGCUCCAAUAGCGUAUAUUAAAGUU